rnacentral:lncRNA from 1 species
UUUUGUUCAUUAUGCUUUAUAUGUAUUAAAAAAUUCAUUCUUGCAUUCAGAUUGCAAAUGUAUUUUCUCAAAAAGUUUACAGUUUUAUGCAUUGAAAAUGUAAAUCAUAUGUAAAUUGAAUGUAAGGCUGAUAAGGAGAGAGUUGAAGGGAUGCAACUGUGCACACAUAAGUUUCAGCGACAUAAAUGGUAGGGUUUUUAUAAGAAAAAAAAUGAUAUAUUGAUACUACAUUUGAAAUCAUUCCCAUGAAAGAACGUGGGGUAUCAUUUGGUAUAAUUUUAUUUAUGUUUGAGAAAUCAAUCGGUCACAGAACAUUUUUUUUUAGAAUGAGGAUACGUGGAUAAAACUCACUUCCAACUCGGCCAAACAACAUUUCACCGGCAGGACAAGGAAAAUUGCUAAGGAGAAAUGAAUUAAUUCUUUUAGGAUGAGAACACGUAGUGCAUACCUUUUAAGUGAUCAUCAAUGCAUCCAGCCUUAUGUUAAUAAAAAGUUAUGUAAAGAAACAAAUUAUGACUUCUUAAAACUGAAGUAUUUAAAUAACAUUUGAAUGGUGUUCAAUGAAAAUUUAU